rnacentral:lncRNA from 1 species
AUACCAGUGGGGGAUAUAGAGACUGAAGUGGCCACCUCCUGUAGCCAGAUAGGACAUCCGGUGGAGAAAAGGGGACAUCCACCCACCCACAAAACCUUCAACCCAAAACUUGUCCUGCUUACAAGAUGCACAGGGAUAAAGAUGGAACAGAGGCUGAGGGAACAGUCAACCAGUGACUGCCCCAACCUGAGACCCAUCCCAUGUGAAAGAGCCAACCCUGACACUAUUAAAGAUACUCUGCUAUGCUUGCAGAUAGGAGCCUAGCAUAACUGUCUCUUGAGAGGCUUCAUCCAGCAGCUGAUGGAAACAGAUGCAGAGACCACAGUCAAACAUCAGCCGGAGCUUAGGGUUUCUUGUGAAAUGGUGAGGGGAUAGAAUUGAUGGAGCUAGAGGGGUCAAGGACACCACAAUAAAACCUACAGAGUCUACUAACCUGAGCCCAUGGCGGGGGGCUCCCAGAGACUGAACCACCAACCCAAGAGCAUGCGGUGGCUGGACCUAGGCUCCCUACACAUUUGGGGCAGAUGUGCAGCUUGUUCUUCAUGUGGAUCCUCUAACAAAUGGAGUGGAGGCUGUCUCUGACUCAGUUGCCUGCCACUGGCUCUCCUUCCCCUAACUGGACUACCUCGUGGGGCUUCAGUGGAAGAGGAUGCGGUUAGGCCUUCAGAGACUGGAUGUGCCAAGAUGUUACUCAGAUGUGGUGGGUUCAGAGAGCCUUAUUUCCACUAAAGGUGAAAACAAAAUACACUACAGUCCAACAAGGUUAAAAAUCAAUCAGAGAGCAGCCCGCAUCAUGACUCAACAGAAAAAAAUCGUGACUCAGCAGAUAAGAAUCGUGACUCAGCAGAAAAGAAUCAGGAUUCAGCAGGUCAGAGUGUCUGCUGAGCAGACCUGAUGACCUGGGUUUGAUUUUCAAAACCAACAUGAAAAACCUUGAUAGCGUAUGUGCAUCUGUGAUGUCAGCAUUCCUAUGCAAGAGGGGAGGCAGAGACAAGAGAGUGCCUACCAGCUCAGGAACCAGCUGGACUGGAGUAUUCAGUACAGUGAAGACUUCAAGAGGAUCCUGUAUCAGCAAGGUGGAAGGAGAGUAUCAACUCCAGGAGUUGUCCCUCUAACCUCUACAAAUGUACUCUAGCAUAUUAUGUAUGCACACACUUAAAAAAAAAGUCAGGAAAAUCCCAACAGGUAUAUCAAAGAAUGGCCUGUGAGUGGUGGCUUUUGACUAAGGGAAGAACAUUCGUAACCCUAAGAAUAUCUGAGAAUCAUUUUCUCUAUUCGAAAAGAGAACCUUGGUUGAUUACAGGGCAUGCCAUGAUCAUGGAUAAACUGGACUGGCUUGUCCUGAAUGCUGAUACUUUUUUCACAGAAAAUGUUAUAAUCUGACACCCAUGAACACCAUGGAACCACAAACCUGCCCAUAAGAGUUUCCAUCCUAAAUGAUUUCACAUGGCAGGAACACAAAUACAUUCCAACAGAUAGCGGCAGACUAUCUGCACCAAAGUGGACAAACACUGUUACUGAAUGCCGAGAGUUCAUUUCCUCUGCUUCUGGCACCAUAAUUUGAAAUUUCCUUUGAGGAAACAUGUCUACCUCCCUCUCAACCAACUUCUUCAGAUGUCAAAAAUUCUUCCCUAGUUCUUGGACAAAGGGAAAGGAUAGAAAUGAGGGAAUUAGAUCAACAGAACCAGGCUGGAGAGAUUGCUCCGCGGUUAAGAGCAUUGAUGGCUCUUCCAGAGGUCCUAAGUUCAAUUUCCAGCAACCACAAGGUAGUUCACAAUCAUCUGUAAUGAGUUCUGAUGCCCUCUUCUGGUGUGUCUGAAGACAGCUACAUGUAGUUAUAUAUAAUAAAUAAAACUUUUUUUUAAAAGG